rnacentral:rRNA from 1 species
AUACGAAAGGUGCAAGCGUUGUUCGGAUUUACUGGGCGUAAAGAGAGUGUAGGUUGUUUAUUAAGUCGGAUGUGAAAUCCCGGGGCUCAACCUCGGAACUGCAUUCGAUACUGAUAGGUUAGAGUUUGGGAGGGGUAAGCGGAAUUCCGUGUGUAGCAGUGAAAUGCGUAGAUAUACGGAGGAACACCUGAGGCGAAGGCGGCUUACUGGACCAAUACUGACACUGAGACUCGAAAGCGUGGGUAGCAAACAGGAUUAGAAACCCCUGUAGUCC